GAUGAACGCUAGCGACAGGCUUAACACAUGCAAGUCGAGGGGCAGCGGGGGAGCAGCAAUGCUCCCGCCGGCGACCGGCGCACGGGUGAGUAACACGUAUGGAACCUGCCCGCAGCAGGGGGAUAAGCGGAAGAAAUUCCGUCUAAUACCGCGUAACACCGCGGAGGGGCAUCCCUCGGCGGUUAAAGAUUCAUCGGCUGCGGAUGGCCAUGCGGCGCAUUAGCUAGUCGGCGGGGUAACGGCCCACCGAGGCGACGAUGCGUAGGGGUUCUGAGAGGAAGGUCCCCCACAUUGGAACUGAGACACGGUCCAA
rnacentral:rRNA from 1 species